rnacentral:rRNA from 1 species
CCUACGGGUGGCAGCAGUGGGGAAUAUUGGACAAUGGGCGAAAGCCUGAUCCAGCCAUGCCGCGUGUGUGAAUAAGGCCUUCGGGUUGUAACGCACUUUCAGUGGGGAAGAAAGCCUUGGGGCUAAUACCCUCGAGGAAGGACAUCACCCACAGAAGAAGCACCGGCUAACUCCGUGCCAGCAGCCGCGGUAAUACGGAGGGUGCGAGCGUUAAUCGGAAUUACUGGGCGUAAAGCGCGCGUAGGCGGUCUGAUAAGCCGGUUGUGAAAGCCCCGGGCUCAACCUGGGAACGGCAUCCGGAACUGUCAGGCUAGAGUGCAGGAGAGGAAGGUAGAAUUCCCGGUGUAGCGGUGAAAUGCGUAGAGAUCGGGAGGAAUACCAGUGGCGAAGGCGGCCUUCUGGACUGACACUGACGCUGAGGUGCGAAAGCGUGGGUAGCAAACAGGAUUAGAUACCCUAGUAGUC